UAGAAGAACCGUACAACAGCAAUAUCAAAAGAUACCCGACCCACCCCUUUUACUCUCCUUCUUCCUCGACGUGAAGAAACCCAGAACCUCAAGCAGUCCAAAGAAUCGAAGACCAGAAUCGCGAGUCCAGCAACCCAAACCCUGCUUCGCAUCUCUUGUUUCUCAAUAGUACAAAAAUCGUACUCGAAUCAACAGGUGGAGCAAUCAGACAGCUUCUUCGUCCUUCUUCCAAAAUCAGACACUCCUCCUCUAAAUUCCGUUGAAGAAUUGUACAAAGUCGGUACCAUUCCAGCUUCCAAGAGAAUCUCUUCAAGGAUUUUGAAUUUUGAAUUCAAAAUUCCACUCGUUUUCCCCCUUUUCCAACAAAAAUCUCCUCUAUAAAAGCUGUUGUUCAUCUUCAUUGUGGAAGGUUAGAAACAAAUGCAGUCCAUAUUCAGAAAUUAGACUCAACAUCAUAAAGAAAAUAAAAAGGUUGUCGAGAUAAAAAUAGACCCUGAAAAAAUAACUGAUAGAGGAAUACUCAAGUUUCGGUUUAUUUUUCGAGCUCGACGUUCUCUCUGUUGUCUUAUAGUCUCGUUUUGGUGGUGGUAUUAUCCUCAUGUCUAGCUCGUUCGUUCCGGUCGCUGCCCAGAAAAAGUUCACUAUGAACUCCUAUCAUCUUCCCCUUGCAUUUCGAGAGAGCCAUAACGGCUCAAGUUCCUUUUAUCGAGUCAAGCCUAUUAAAAAUCGACAUAUAGGUCCAGAAGUUGGAAAAUGCAGAAGUAGAAGAGAAUGGAGAAAAUUGGACCAAAGAGUCCAAAUUUAUUUUUUCAAAGUACUGUAUUUUGUUAUUUUUUAGCCCAAGCCCUUAUUUCUUUUAUCAUUAUUGUAUCGUUAGAAUCUUUGGACAAGUGAAAUGGGCUGAAGGUCCAAAAAAAAUGGGUCCAAAUAUCGGUUCAAGCGGACAACAACCA